rnacentral:tRNA from 1 species
UCGCCGGCGAGCAGGUUCUGCUGGCCCGGCCCGGCCAGGGCCCAGGCCGGGGCGCGCCAGAGACCCAGUCCACCGAGCAGACCGGUGGCGGCGAG